UACGUAGGUGGCAAGCGUUGUCCGGAUUUACUGGGCGUAAAGGAUGCGUAGGUGGAUAUUUAAGUGGGAUGUGAAAUACCCGGGCUCAACUUGGGUGCUGCAUUCCAAACUGGAUAUCUAGAGUGCAGGAGAGGAAAGUGGAAUUCCUAGUGUAGCAGUGAAAUGCGUAGAUAUUAGGAGGAACACCAGUGGCGAAGGCGACUUUCUGGACUGUAACUGACACUGAGGUAAGAAAGCGUUGGGAGCAAACAGG
rnacentral:rRNA from 1 species